GGGGAUCGAGUUGAUUCGAGCUCCGGCUCGACUCUCCCACCCUAUGUGUACCUACCUCUGUUGCUUUGGCGGGCCGCGGUCCUCCGCACCGGCGCCCUUCGGGGGGCUGGCCAGCGCCCGCCAGAGGACCAUAAAACUCCAGUCAGUGAACUUCGCAGUCUGAAAAACAAGUUAAUAAACUAAAACUUUCAACAACGGAUCUCUUGGUUCUGGCAUCGAUGAAGAACGCAGCGAAAUGCGAUAAGUAAUGUGAAUUGCAGAAUUCAGUGAAUCAUCGAAUCUUUGAACGCACAUUGCGCCCCUUGGUAUUCCGAGGGGCAUGCCUGUUCGAGCGUCAUUUCAACCCUCAAGCUCUGCUUGGUAUUGGGCCCCGUCCUCCACGGACGCGCCUUAAAGACCUCGGCGGUGGCGUCUUGCCUCAAGCGUAGUAGAAAACACCUCGCUUUGGAGCGCACGGCGUCGCCCGCCGGACGAACCUUUGAAUUAUUUCUCAAGGUUGACCUCGGAUCAGGUAGGGAUACCCGCUGAACUUAAGCAUAUCAAUAGCCGGAGGAA
rnacentral:rRNA from 1 species